rnacentral:tRNA from 1 species
UUUGGCUUGGCAGAAUAUGCAGUUGACUUAGGCUCAUCUUAUAACCUACUAAGGUUAGCUGGAU